rnacentral:rRNA from 1 species
AAAUAUACUUUAUCCUCCGCCAGAGAAUUACAGAUGAAAAAUCUAAAACUCAAAGGACUUGACGGUGUCCCAUACCGACCUAGAGGAGCCUGUCCUAUAAUCGAUAACCCCCGCUCUACCUAACCUUAACUUGCACAUACCAGCCUAUAUACCGCCGUCAACAGCCUACCCUAUGAAGGAUAAAUAGUAGACACAAUAGCUCCACUAACACGUCAGGUCAAGGUGUAGCAAAUGUUAAGGAAGAGAUGGCUACAUUUUUUAAUUAUAAAAAAUUACGGAAAGUUUUAUGAAACAAAACAUGAAGGUGAAUUUAGUAGUAAAAUAAAUAAGAGCCUUUAUUUUAACAACGCUCUGGGACGCGUACACACCGCC